UCGAACGAGAAGCCACCUUCGGGUGGUGGACAGUGGCAGACGGGUGAGUAACGCGUGGGAACGUGCCUUUCGGUUCGGAAUAACCCAGGGAAACUUGGGCUAAUACCGGAUACGCCCUUCGGGGGAAAGAUUCAUUGCCGAAAGAUCGGCCCGCGUCGGAUUAGCUAGUUGGUGGGGUAAUGGCUCACCAAGGCGACGAUCCGUAGCUGGUCUGAAAGGAUGACCAGCCACACUGGGACUGAGACACGGCCCAGACUCCUACGGGAGGCAGCAGUGGGGAAUAUUGGACAAUGGGCGAAAGCCUGAUCCAGCCAUGCCGCGUGGGUGAAGAAGGCCUUAGGGUUGUAAACCCCUUUCAGCGGGGAAGAUAAUGACGGUACCCGCAGAAGAAGUCCCGGCUAACUCCGUGCCAGCAGCCGCGGUAAUACGGAGGGGACUAGCGUUGUUCGGAAUUACUGGGCGUAAAGCGCACGUAGGCGGAUUUGUAAGUCAGGGGUGAAAUCCCGGGGCUCAACCUCGGAACUGCCUUUGAUACUGCAAAUCUCGAGUCCGGAAGAGGUGAGUGGAAUUCCUAGUGUAGAGGUGAAAUUCGUAGAUAUUCGGAGGAACACCAGUGGCGAAGGCGGCUUACUGGAUCGAUACUGACGCUGAGGUGCGAAAGCGUGGGGAGCAAAC
rnacentral:rRNA from 1 species